rnacentral:rRNA from 1 species
UACGGGAGGCAGCAGUGGGGAAUAUUGCACAAUGGGCGCAAGCCUGAUGCAGCCAUGCCGCGUGUAUGAAGAAGGCCUUCGGGUUGUAAAGUACUUUCAGUCGUGAGGAAGGUGUUAAGGUUAAUAACCUUAGCAAUUGACGUUAGCGACAGAAGAAGCACCGGCUAACUCCGUGCCAGCAGCCGCGGUAAUACGGAGGGUGCGAGCGUUAAUCGGAAUUACUGGGCGUAAAGGGCACGCAGGCGGUUAAUUAAGUUGGAUGUGAAAUCCCCGGGCUUAACCUGGGAAUGGCAUUCAAGACUGGUUAGCUAGAGUCUUGUAGAGGGGGUAGAAUUCCAUGUGUAGCGGUGAAAUGCGUAGAGAUGUGGAGGAAUACCGGUGGCGAAGGCGGCCCCUGGACAAAGACUGACGCUCAUGUGCGAAAGCGUGGGGAGGCAAACAGGAUUAGAUACC